rnacentral:rRNA from 1 species
GACGAACGCUGGCGGCGUGCCUAAUACAUGCAAGUCGAGCGGACUUGAAGAGAAGCUUGCCUCUCGGAGAGUUAGCGGCGGACGGGUGAGUAACACGUAGGUAACCUGCCUGGAAGACUGGGAUAACAUUCGGAAACGAAUGCUAAUACCGGAUACGCGGUUUGGUCGCAUGGCCGAACCGGGAAAGACGGAGCAAUCUGUCACUUUCAGAUGGACCUGCGGCGCAUUAGCUAGUUGGUGGGGUAACGGCUCACCAAGGCGACGAUGCGUAGCCGACCUGAGAGGGUGAUCGGCCACACUGGGACUGAGACACGGCCCAGACUCCUACGGGAGGCAGCAGUAGGGAAUCUUCCGCAAUGGACGCAAGUCUGACAGAGCAACACCGCGUGAGUGAGGAAGGCCUUCGGGUCGUAAAGCUCUGUUGCCAGGGAAGAACGGGUGGAGGAGUAACUGCCUUCAUCAUGACGGUACCUGAGAAGAAAGCCCCGGCUAACUACGUGCCAGCCGCCGCCGUAAAAC